CACGGAGGGUGCAAGCGUUAUCCGGAUUUACUGGGUUUAAAGGGUGUGUAGGCGGGUCUUUAAGUCAGUGGUGAAAUCUCCGAGCUCAACUUGGAAACUGCCAUUGAUACUAUUGAUCUUGAAUUCUGUUGAGGUGGGCGGAAUAAGUCAUGUAGCGGUGAAAUGCAUAGAUAUGACUUAGAACACCAAUUGCGAAGGCAGCUCACUAAACAGAUAUUGACGCUGAGGCACGAAAGCGUGGGGAUCAAACAGG
rnacentral:rRNA from 1 species